rnacentral:misc_RNA from 1 species
GAUGAAGAACGUAGCGAAAUGCGAUACGUAGUGUGAAUUGCAGAAUUCAGUGAAUCAUCGAAUCUUUGAACGCACAUUGCACCUCUCGGUAUUCCGGGAGGUAUGCCUGUUCGAGCGUCAUUUGUACCCUCAAGCUCUGCUUGGUGUUGGGUGUUUGUUCCGCCUCUGUGUGUGAACUCGCCUCAAAACAAUUGGCAGCCGGCGUACUUGUUUCGGAGCGCAGCACAUUUUGCGAUCCAGCUCAACGUACAGCGGCAUCCAAGAAGCCUUAUUUAACGCUCUUGACCUCGGAUCAGGUAGGGAUACCCGCUGAACUUAAGCAUAUCAAUAAGCGGAGGA